GACGAACGCUGGCGGCGUGCUUAACACAUGCAAGUCGAACGAUGAAGAAAAGAAUUGCAGCUUCGGCAGAAAUUCAUUUCGGAUUAGUGGCAGACGGGUGAGUAACGCGUGAGCAACCUACCUCUUACAAAGGGAUAGCCUCGGGAAACCGGGAUUAAUACCAUAUAACAUUGCGACGAAGCAUUUCGAUGCAAUCAAAGCUACGGCGGUAAGAGAUGGGCUCGCGUCCCAUUAACCAGAUGGUGAGGUAACGGCUCACCAUAGUAACGAUGGGUAACCGGCCUGAGAGGGUGAACGGUCACACUGGAACUGAGACACGGUCCAGACUCCUACGGGAGGCAGCAGUGGGGAAUAUUGCACAAUGGAGGGAACUCUGAUGCAGCAACGCCGCGUGAGUGAUGAAGGAAUUCGUUUCGUAAAACUCUGUUCUAUGGGAAGAAAAGGACUGUACCAUAGGAGAAAGCUCCGGCUAAAUACGUG
rnacentral:rRNA from 1 species